rnacentral:lncRNA from 1 species
AGGCACCUGAGUGUAACCCCGGCUGCUGGCACUGAACGCACACAAGCAACACAUUUGGAGGGGCUGGCUUCAGAGUUCAGCGCUCAAACCAUUUAGCUGAGCACGCACAAAGCAUUACCUUGGUGACAGCCCAUGAAAAAUGUUCUUCUGUGCAGACACUGAGCAGAGAGGUGACAUCCUCAGUAUCUUCCCUUGGCUUGUUUUGGCUCCCUGUUGAAAACUGGAGUAGUAGGGGUGAAACAGCAGUGUUCCCUGAUGGACAUUUCUUUCCCCUGCAGGUGGCUUCCUCCUAACAGCUGCAGCAGCGCAUCUGGGAAUAAGCUUGCAGUGGAAUGUGGUGGCCCCAUAAAGUGCUGCAAGAAGAGAAUCAUUUGAAGUUAAGAUGUAAGCUAGUUUGGGGCCUCUGCAAAGCAGCCUAACAGAUAUUGAACUCAGCUCUAAUUGCUUCUGUUAACCACCUAGUGAAGCCAUUGCACAUUAACCGUUUUCAAUUACGACAGCUAUGAGAAAAGAUCCACAUACAAAUGCAAGCUGGCCUGCUGGUAAUCUGCAAUCCCAUGGCAUCUGCUUUCAAGGGCGGUCAGUAAAUCUUUUUAAUUCUUUUCCCUGCUUUAUAAUAAUGGCUAGUUUUUGUUGGUACCAAGUGCUCGUUACACCAACCAGGUGUGUGCAAAAGCAGCAGUUGUGUUACAUGUGGAUGUGUCCCAUCUGUGUGCUCCGGAACUGCAUCUCUGAUUGCUCGCUCUUACUUCAGAGCCUCAGACCGAAAAUCCUAUAUUAACCUGUUUUGUACAGAUUUUAAUUUUUAGUGGAUCAGGGAAAUCCAGUUUCAAACAGUUCAAACAACAUUUGAAUAUUUUUCAAUAUAGUCUUUUCUCUUUUGUUCAACAAAAGAUACUUGGCAUGAAUUCAUAGUCAUAGGACUCCUGGAAGCAUAUUUUGGGGCAAACAAUAUUCAGAUGAAGGAGUAGCUUGUUUCUAACAGAAGUAAACUGCUAUGUUACACUUGUUAGGAUGCAUUUGUAUGCUGUUUGCUUCUGGGGAUCUGAAAUUUCAUGGGAAUGCAGUGAGAAUGAUUAAAAAUUAAACUUUGUAACUGCUUUAUAUGUUUGGCAUUAAUAUCAUCUUUCAUUGUUUUCUAAUAGUGAUAAUUAGGUGUUGCAUUACUCUAGGGUAAGCCUUGUAGCACCCCUGGGAAGGCUUUUAUGCACAAUAUAAAUACUACUGUGCACAUAAAACUAAAUUUUGUUGAGAAACAUCCUCCGUUGGCUUUGCUUUCUUAAUGUUUGCUUUCACCCUUUUCCUCCAGACCCAGAAGAUUCUUUUAGAAUUUCCCUUUAUCAGCUUCUUUUUAUUCCUUCUCCACCUGAGCUGCCAUUUAUCUCAGACCUUUCAUUCUGCACCAGUGUCAUCCUCACCACAUGGGUGGACUUAACCAAGCAGUUAAUGCUAUUACAGUGCUGGAUCCUCCUGUACUGGGCUGUUAGUGCACAUCAGCAUCAGCAGGGACGGGAGUCUGACAAGCACGUGGGAACUGUCACAUAGGGACCAAUGUCUGUUGGUCUGUAACUGAUAUGCUCUCAGUGUCCUGUUAGAAUAAAUGACUGUAGAGGCAAUCUCUCCCCA